rnacentral:tRNA from 1 species
GUGUUUGGGGUUGAGUGGUAAAAUGCUUAGCUUCCGAACCGAGGGGACCCGGGUUCGAAUCCCGGUGAAUACU